UAAGAGUGCAGAUAGAGAUAUGCUGUAUACCUGCAUAACCGAAUUAACGUUUAAGCGACAUGUAAUGUCGUCGGCCGCAGGGACCGCCAUUUGGCGGUUAUCAUUCCUUAUCAUAUUUAGAUCAACAGAUCCCAUCAAACCUCUUAACCAAUGCGUAACACGAUGGGCCUGACCCCGGAGCAAUCCGGGGUUUUAUAUUUCG
rnacentral:sRNA from 24 species